rnacentral:rRNA from 1 species
GGCCAGACUCCUACGGGAGGCAGCAGUGAGGAAUAUUGGUCAAUGGCCGAGAGGCUGAACCAGCCAAGUCGCGUGAGGGAUGACGGCCCUACGGGUUGUAAACCUCUUUUGCCGGGGAGCAAAGAGCGGGACGCGUCCCGCCUCGAGAGUACCCGGAGAAAAAGCAUCGGCUAACUCCGUGCCAGCAGCCGCGGUAAUACGGAGGAUGCGAGCGUUAUCCGGAUUUAUUGGGUUUAAAGGGUGCGUAGGCUGUGAGGUAAGUCAGCGGUGAAAUGCCCCCGCUCAACGGGGUGAAGUGCCAUUGAUACUGCCUUGCUGGAAUGCGGAUGCCGUGGGAGGAAUGUGUGGUGUAGCGGUGAAAUGCAUAGAUAUCACACAGAACACCGAUUGCGAAGGCAUCUCACGAAUCCGCGAUUGACGCUGAUGCACGAAAGCGUGGGUAUCAAACAGGAUUAGAUACCCGUGUA